rnacentral:rRNA from 1 species
UACAGAGGCCUCGAGCGUUAGGCGGAAUCACUGGGCUUAAAGCGUGUGUAGGCGGACUUCUAAGUACCUUGUGAAAUCCCACAGCUUAACUGUGGAACUGCUCGGUAUACUGGUUGUCUUGAGGUACCUAGGGGCGAGCGGAACAAGUGGUGGAGCGGUGAAAUGCGUAGAUAUCGAGAGGAACACCUGAGGUGAAGACGGGUUGCUGGGCCGACACUGACGCUGACAGCGCGAAAGCCAGGGGAGCAAACGGG